AUAACUAUCUGUAACCUGGUUUGCUAAUUUGUGACCUCAUUGCUGUGCAAUGUGACAUGUGACAUAUUUCACCUAUGAUGAAAUUAUUAAUAUUAAUUGUAAUUUACAUAAUGGUGUACUUGCACGUAUGUUUACUGUAUAGAUUGCAAUCCUCAUUGACGUUAGUAGCUCGCAACUGCAGUUAUUUAACCCUUAUGGACACAAUUAUGAUAGAAUUCGCUCUGGAUCCUACGAAGGUAGUGGUAUCAUUGAAGUACAUACUGAAGGAAGAUUUCCCUCCCAUCAGGAUAAAAAAUGACAAUAAUGUGCCAUCAUACAUUCUACUAAAGGACAUGGAGCGUGAACCUGCUAAAUAUCCGAUAAUCGUUGAUGUUGCUGAGGUAAAAAUAGAUAAUACAUCCAUCACUGUGCCAAUCAAUGCGCAUUCCAGCGGUGAGAUGUUUACAUUGUAAGACAUGGCAUCAGACAUAUGCGAAGCAUCAAAUGAAAAAAUGGGUAACAUUUGUGACACUGAAGUCACAGUUGUGUCUAUCGCGGAUGCUAGAGAGGUAGAAGAAGGAAGGGUGUUCCGUGAUAAGGAUGUUUUGAAAAAGAGCCUGUCGUUUUUGCCAUACAGAACAUGUUUAAGUUUACAGGUGAACGGUCUGACAAGAGAGAAUAUGUUGUGAGGUGUUUGAAUGGUGGAUGUAGUUGGAUAUAUAGAUCGUCGAUAUGGGGUAAAAGAGAUCUAUUUAAGAUUCGAAAGAUUGGUAGUCACACAUGUGCAUCAAUUGUAGUAUUAGGAUCACAUAGGCAAGUGUCAUCUAAGAUUGUGUCAUCUACAAUUAAGUACAAGUACACAUCAUCCCUUGCUAUAUAUACACCAAAGGACAUAUGCAGUAACAUGUUGAAUAUUUGUGGGGUUUAUUUGAGUUAUUCGAAAGCUUGAAGAUCUCGCGAGCAAACUUUGAAAAUGAUUAGGGAUGAUUCAGCCGAGUCAUUUAGUAAGUUGCCAAGUUUCUUCUACAUGCUCUAACAGAAAAAUCCUGGUACGAUCACAAAAAUAGAGGUUGAUAGUCACAAUAAGUUCAGAUAUUGCUUUAUGGCACUAGGUGCAUCAAUACAAAGAUGGGAGCAUUGUAGACUGGUGAAUGUUGUUGAUGGUACAUACUUGAAUGGUAAAUAUGGAGGUACCAUUUUCACAGCAUGUACACAAUAUGCAACUAAUAGCAUAUUCAUUCUUGCUUUUGGAAUUAGAGACAAUGAGAACGACAAAUCAUGAAGAUGAUUUUUCGAUAAGUUGAAGAAGGCAUAUGGAAACAGAGAAGGGCUGUGUUUUGUGUCAGACCGCCACCUAAGUAUAAAGAAUGUGAUAGAAUAUGUGUAUCCGAGAGCCUGUCACGAUAUUUGUUCUUAUCAUUGCUGCAAAAUCUAAAAUCGUAUUAUGAAAAGCCAGGCCAAAACAUUACAUAAGCAUUCAAUUCGAAUGUCCGUGCUUACACACUAGAAGAAUAUGAUUAUAACAUGUCUCUGUUAACAACGAUGAAUAAGAAGAUUAUUUCGUACCAGGUAGUGUACUACAGCUUAUUUCAUUUCACAUACAUAUAAAUGGUCACAUAUGAUAUUUAUAUGAUGUUCAUUGAAUUGAUUUAUGUUUGUAGGCUGAUGUUAGACCUAAAAAGUGAUCACGAAUACAUAUGCCAACAAACUGAUAUUCUACAAUGACAUCAAACAUUGUGGAAUCGAUCAACGCGGUCACAAAGGCAGCCAAAAAUUACCCUAUUGUAUCCUUGCUAGAGUCAUUACGGCAAACCAUGUAAUCGUGAUUCUGUAGACACAGGGAUGAUGCGCAUGGAACUUUCACAAAGUUGUCGAGCAAGUACAAGAAAGAGAUUAGGAAAAUGAGCAUGGAUUUGAAAAACUUGAGGGUAAUUUUUUAUAUUUUAACAUUCAGAUGUAUAUGCGACUCAUCGUAAGUGUCAGUAUCUUGAACUGUAAUGUAACGAAUCUAAUAUGUGACCUAUUUUGUGAUUUUGUGACCUGGUUGGUAAACUAAGUUUAAAGCUCUGUAUUCUGUUUCAUAGCUAUCUGUAAAUGGAACAAAUUUGUGUAACCUGAUAUCUAAAUCUGUGACCUAUGUGAUGUGGUAUGUGAUGUAACUGUGUACUCUCU
rnacentral:lncRNA from 1 species